AAGCUCGUAGUUGAAUUUCGGGAUCAAUGGGUCGGUCAUGCCCUCGGUAUGUACUGGCCUCAUUGGUUCUCACCUUCUAAGGAACCAUAAUGUCAUUCAUUUGACGUUUUGGGGAAUUAGGACUGUUACCUUGAAAAAAUUAGAGUGUUUAAAGCAGGCUAACCGCUUGAAUACAUUAGCAUGGAAUAAUGAAAUAGGACAUCGCAUUCUAUUUUGUUGGUUUCUAGGAUCGAUGUAAUGAUUAAUAGGGAAGUUGGG
rnacentral:rRNA from 1 species